rnacentral:lncRNA from 1 species
UCAUCAGUCCAAAUAUGAAGCAUCAACAUCUACACCAUUGAAGCGCCAACUGUGUAUUUCUGCAACACCAAUGCCAGCUCUGUCUAGCAUUCAUGGAGAAUCAUCUGAAAGGGAUGAUAAUUUGGAGGAGGUGAUGGAACAAGGUGAAACUAAAAAAGAAGGAUCUUCACAAAUGUUAUCUUGUGAGGGAAUUGAAGCAAACAUUGACGAGGAAGAGUUCAACAAUAUUCAAAACUCUGUGAUAGAGUCAUCAGAUGACACAUGGUCACCAAACAGAGAACCAGAAGUUGAUUCGUCUUCAGAGGAGGACGAAACCAUCGAGAUGGACAGCGGUACUGAUGACAGCGGUGAUGAGGACUACACACCUUAUACACACAUAAGGACUGGAGCAGCAUUACAAAAAACAUUACAACUUGAGACUCUGCAAGAAAUUAACAUAGAGGAUACAGUUCAUGACUGUAAUAUCCCAGAAGCAACUGACCGACGUUUGACAAGCAAGAAAGGUCUUCCUCGACGCUACAAGCUAAGGCCUGAGGAUCCAAGGCGUUAUGGUUUGCUGUCCGGAGUUCCUGCACCAUCAACAGAGGAACUUCUACAACACCUACGGACUUGCGGUGAUGGUAAAACUUUGCCACAGACAUAG